rnacentral:tRNA from 1 species
AGCCUUAUAGUCAAUUAAUGAUAUUAGACUGCAAUUCUAAAGGAGUAAGUUUUGAUUUACUAAGGCUU